UAUUAAGUUAAGCACUCUAACGAGACUGCCGCGGUUAACGUGGAGGAAGGUGGGGAUGACGUCAAAUCAUCAUGCCCCUUAUGUCUAGGGCUACACACGUGCUACAAUGGCUGGUACAACGAGCAGCGAACCCGCGAGGGGGAGCAAAACUUGAAAGCUAGUCCCAGUUCGGAUUGUAGGCUGAAACUCGCCUACAUGAAGUUGGAGUUGCUAGUAAUCGCGAAUCAGCAUGUCGCGGUGAAUACGUUCCCGGGUCUUGUACACACCGCCCGUCACACCAUGAGAGCCGGUAACACCCGAAGCCCGUGAGGUAACCGUAAGGAGCCAGCGGUCGAAGGUGGGAUUGGUGAUUGGGGUGAAGUCGUAACAAGGUAGCCGUAGGAGAACCUGCGGCUGGAUCACCUCCUUUCUAGGGA
rnacentral:rRNA from 1 species